rnacentral:rRNA from 1 species
UACGUAGUGUGCAAGCGUUAAUCGGAAUUACUGGGCGUAAAGCGUGCGCAGGCGGUUGUGCAAGACCGAUGUGAAAUCCCCGGGCUUAACCUGGGAAUGGCAUUGGUGACUGCACGGCUAGAGUGUGUCAGAGGGGGGUAGAAUUCCACGUGUAGCAGUGAAAUGCGUAGAGAUGUGGAGGAAUACCGAUGGCGAAGGCAGCCCCCUGGGAUAACACUGACGCUCAUGCACGAAAGCGUGGGGAGCAAACAGG